rnacentral:tRNA from 1 species
UAGCCUAGUGGUUAUGGCUAUGGAUCGCCAAUCCGGAGACGACGAGUUCGAUUCUCGU